CUGACUCGUUAGUGUCUGUAGUCACGUGACUCGUUAGUGUCGGUAGUCACCUGACUCGUUAGUGUCGGUAGUCAUGUGACUCGUUAGUGUCGGUGGUCAGGUGAGUCGUUAGUGUCAGUAGUCAGGUGAGUCGUUAGUGUCAGUAGUCAGGUGACUCGUUAGUGUCGGUAGUCACCUGACUCGUUAGUGUCGGUAGUCAUGUGACUCGUUAGUGUCAGUAGUCACGUGACUCGUUCGUGUCGGUGGUCAGGUGAGUCGUUGUCAGUACAGAGUCGUGUGAGUCUCUUGAAUCCCUUUUGUCUGCAGAAGUGGACCAGAAGCUUUUCAGCCUUCAUGAGGCGAGUCCUCUGAAGCCGGAGGAUCCACAGCGAUGAAGAAGAAGAACCAGAAGAAGCUUUCAGAUCGGGUUUGGAUUCAUACACAUGAAGCCUCGUGGAGAUCUGAGGUGUGAGUCGGUACACUUUGAGGAAGAGAACCUGGUGUUGGUGGGAACUCUUAAUAGUCUCACGUGCUUCUGUAAUCGCUCUCCACACUGCAGCAGAGAAGCACGAGACUCAUUAAAUCCCUCCAGACCUCCUCAAACAUUCAUUCUGAAAGUCCUACCUGGAGGAGGCCAGAUGCUCGAGUAUCUCGAGUAAAGAUCAUACUAGCUAGUGAUUCAUGGUCUGUAAACCUGUGGAUUACUUUUUCCAUUAGCUGUUUAGUUUAUGAAAAUAAAACAAGUCCUCAAAUCUCUGGUUUGCUCACAACAAUCUGAUAAUAUUCAUAUUUAAGACAACUGGAGACUUUUUACUUUUUGCAUCAAACUGAUUCCUCAACUCAACGGUAGCCGAUAAUUAUACUUGAAUAAA
ensembl:lncRNA